UGGUGGAGUGAUUUGCCUUGUUAAUUCCGUUAACGAACGAGACCUCAGCCUACUAUUGUAGUUGCAGCGUAUCCUGAUACGUUCAACUUCUUAGAGGGAAUGUCGGUGUUUAGCCGAUGGAAGUUUGAUGCAAUAACA
rnacentral:rRNA from 1 species